rnacentral:rRNA from 1 species
UGGGGAAUAUUGGACAAUGGGGGCAACCCUGAUCCAGCAAUUCUGUGUGCACGAAGAAGGUUUUCGGAUCGUAAAGUGCUUUCAGCAGGGAGGAAGAAAGUGACUGUACCUGCAGAAGAAGCGACGGCUAAAUACGUGCCAGCAGCCGCGGUAAUACGUAUGUCGCGAGCGUUAUCCGGAAUUAUUGGGCAUAAAGGGCAUCUAGGCGGCCAGAUAAGUCCGAGGUGAAAACUGCCGGCUCAACCAGCAGCUUGCCUUGGAAACUACCUGGCUAGAGUAUUGGAGAGGUGGACGGAACUACACGAGUAGAGGUGAAAUUCGUAGAUAUGUGUAGGAAUGCCGAUGAUGAAGAUAGUUCACUGGACGAUAACUGACGCUGAAGUGCGAAAGCUAGGGGAGCGAACA